CCUACGGGCGGCAGCAGUGGGGAAUAUUGGACAAUGGGGGGAACCCUGAUCCAGCCAUGCCGCGUGUGUGAAGAAGGCCCUCGGGUUGUAAAGCACUUUCAGUGAGGAAGAACGCCUGGUGGUUAAUACCCAUCAGGAAAGACAUCACUCACAGAAGAAGCACCGGAUAACUCCGUGCCAGCAGCCGCGGUAAUACGGAGGGUGCGAGCGUUAAUCGGAAUUACUGGGCGUAAAGCGCGCGUAGGUGGCUUGAUAAGCCGGUUGUGAAAGCCCCGGGCUCAACCUGGGAACGGCAUCCGGAACUGUCAAGCUAGAGUGCAGGAGAGGAAGGUAGAAUUCCCGGUGUAGCGGUGAAAUGCGUAGAGAUCGGGAGGAAUACCAGUGGCGAAGGCGGCCUUCUGGACUGACACUGACACUGAGGUGCGAAAGCGUGGGUAGCAAACAGGAUUAGAUACCCUUGUAGUC
rnacentral:rRNA from 1 species